rnacentral:rRNA from 1 species
GACGAACGCUGGCGGCGUGCUUAACACAUGCAAGUCGAACGGAAAGGCCCUGCUUUUGUGGGGUGCUCGAGUGGCGAACGGGUGAGUAACACGUGAGUAACCUGCCCUUGACGUUGGGAUAACUUCAGGAAACUGGGGCUACUACCGGAUAGGAGCUCCUGCUGCAUGGUGGGGGUUGGAAAGUUUCGGCGGUUGGGGAUGGACUCGCGGCUUAUCAGCUUGUUGGUGGGGUAGUGGCUUACCAAGGCUUUGACGGGUAGCCGGCCUGAGAGGGUGAGCGGCCACAUUGGGACUGAGAUGCGGCCCAGACUCCUACGGGAGGCAGCAGUGGGGAAUAUUGCACAAUGGGCGGAAGCCUGAUGCAGCAACGCCGCGUGCGGGAUGACGGCCUUCGGGUUGUAAACCGCUUUCGCCUGUGACGAAGCGUGAGUGACGGUAAUGGGUAAAGAAGCACCGGCUAACUACGUG